GGGCGCUUAGCUCAGCGGGAGAGCGCCGCCCUUACAAGGCGGAGGUCGGUGGUUCGAAACCACCAGCGCCCA
rnacentral:tRNA from 1 species